AAUGAACGCUGGCGGCAUGCCUAACACAUGCAAGUCGAACGAUGCUUUCGGGCAUAGUGGCGCACGGGUGCGUAGCGCGUGGGAAUCUGCCCUUGGGUUCGGAAUAACCGUUAGAAAUGACGGCUAAUACCGGAUGAUGACGUAAGUCCAAAGAUUUAUCGCCCAAGGAUGAGCCCGCGUAGGAUUAGCUGGUUGGUGGGGUAAAGGCCUACCAAGGCGACGAUCCUUAGCUGGUCUGAGAGGAUGAUCAGCCACACUGGGACUGAGACACGGCCCAGACUCCUACGGGAGGCAGCAGUGGGGAAUAUUGGACAAUGGGCGCAAGCCUGAUCCAGCAAUGCCGCGUGAGUGAUGAAGGCCUUAGGGUUGUAAAGCUCUUUUACCCGGGAUGAUAAUGACAGUACCGGGAGAAUAAGCUCCGGCUAACUCCGUGCCAGCCGCCGCCGUAA
rnacentral:rRNA from 1 species